AUUGAACGCUGGCGGCAUGCCUAACACAUGCAAGUCGAGCGGAGCGGCGGACGGGUGAGUAAUGCCUAGGAAUCUGCCUGGUAGUGGGGGAUAACGACCGGAAACGGGCGCUAAUACCGCAUACUAUUAGAUGAGCCUAGGUCGGAUUAGCUAGUUGGUGGGGUAAAGUCCUACCCAGGCGACGAUCCGUAACUGGUCUGAGUGGAUGAUCAGGCACACUGGAACUGAGACACGGUCCAGACUCCUACGGGAGGAAGCAGUGGGGAAUAUUGGACAAUGGGCGAAAGCCUGAGGCAGCCAUGCGGCGUGUGCGAAGAAGGUCUUCGGAUUGUAAAGCACUUUAAGUUGGGAGGCGUUACCAACAGAAUAAGCACCGGCUAACUACGUGCCAGCAGCCGCGGUAAUUC
rnacentral:rRNA from 1 species